CCUAAUGACCAUCUUCAGGCCAGCUCAAAUGGGACAGUUCCCUCUGGGUCACACACACCUCCAGCAGAGAGCCCCACCUCCAUUUGCAGCUGGGUCCACUGCUGGCCAUGGGAAGGCAGGUAAGGAAGAAGGGAGCAGCAGCUGACACUACAAAGCUACAUGCACUGCUAAGGCUUGUGCUGCUACACUCAUGUCAAGAAAACUGCACAGACCUCAAGGCACUUGUAGAAAAUGAAAAAAUAAGUAUUAUUCAUGGAAGGAAUCACUGCACAGGCCUCAGUAACAAACCGACUAAAGAAAAGCCACACUGGCCACCCCUCAAGAUACAUUUCUGAACCAAUGGGCCAAACAGCACACCUGCACUCAGGUAAAUCCAGAGCUUGCUAACUUGCUAGCUUGCUGAACCCUUUGUCUAAAGGUUACAAAAGGUUACAAAGGUUACAAAAAGACAGCAUAUGAGACUGCAAAUUCUCUCCUUCCUUGGUGAAAAGAUAUUCUGAGCAAUGCUGUGACAAACUUUUUUCAGAUCACACGGCGUGCCAAUUUAAACAGCAAGUCUUCAACCAAAAGCAAAGGAGAGGGAUGUAGAGCACCAGUUUGUUUGAAUUUAUGCAAGAUGAUGCACCAAGGACAUGGCUGACAUAAAGAACAAAGAAGAACCCACCCAAACUGAAGAUUCUCUUACUGAUAUUCACAUUCGUCCAUGAAUUUCUGAACAGCAGCUUUCUACCUCCAGCUGGCUGUGCCAGUGACUACACUGACCAUGCUGGAUAAUUUCACGUUGAUUCAAAAAGCAAUUACAUAAUUCUGAGGAAAAAAAAAAAUCCAUGAAUAUAAAAUCCAGAAUACUACCUGAAAAGCAAGUUAUUGGAGGCCAGAAGCAGACAUAGGAGGAAGACCCAUAAUUCCCUUGCACUAUUCUUAAAAGUUUUGGAUGAUUCUAGUACCAUAAUUGUUUCCCUCUCCUGCAUUUGAUCCUCCCUGAAAUUGAACUGUGAGCAUUUUAGCCCAGGACAGGUACAAGAAGCUAGACAGCUCUGUGUGAGGUGCAGCCUUAGCUAUGCCAGGGUGCUCUGCUCCAAGGGGCUGCAGGUACCAGUCAGUGCUGAAGCUUCUUUUAAAAUGAGAACAAAAAUGUGAGUGCAGAGGCUAAAAAAAGAGAAUGCUGAGAUAAGAGAAAACAGAUAAAGGAUUCAAAACAGAGAAGAAAUGGGAAUUUUAACAGAGUAUCAGUGGGUAGGCUUAGUGAAGUUUAUCAGAUUUGAAUAAAAGACAGGAUAGCUAUCAAUCCUCCAGAAGCUCUUAAGAGUUUAAACAGACAACAUAUUUGUUCUCAUUCAUGAGGAAAACAUCUUAAUUUGACAAGCAACCUCACUGAAAAUGCUCCCACUAGAGCCACUCAGCAAUGCCUCCUGUUUCCUUCUGAAAGUGAUUUUAAUGGCUCUGAAAGGUGCUGAGUCAGCAGAUAUUAGCACUGCAAACUUCUGAUGUUUGCAACCACCCAGGAAGCUCCAAGUUCAACUGUCAGUGCCUUUCUGCCUGGUCCUCUGGGCAGGGAAUGGCCCAUCCCGCAUUCAGAGCCAGCCACGACCACAUUGCCAAUGUGGCCCCACUGAGGUGGCAGCCUGCAUGGGGACAACACUCAAUGACAAGGAACUAAAUGAAAGUCACUAAUUAAUUUCACAUGAGUUACACAACAUCCAUCAGAAGAUGGUGCUUUGUCCUUGAAUUAAACUUCCAUUUUAAGAACCUGCACAUGCACUAAAAAUGUCCACACCACGAUUAAAGAUGCUGAAACAUCCGGAAGAGAAACACUCAAUUAUUUCUAAAUCCAUUAAUAGCAUCAUUAUGGUGAAAUUAUGUGGGAUUCAGAACAUAUUUACAUUCAUUUUGAGGGUUACCUAGAGCCUUGAAAAACAGAAGUUCAAAGCAAUUUCAAGUAGAUUUUAAUUAUAAAUAAAAGACUCCGUGAGACAACUUCUACAGUGCAAGCAGCAGCAUUAAAUUAGUGGAGGCAGCCAUCAGUGUAAAAAUAAUUUUAAUUUCAUUAACUCCUAUUGAGGAAAAGAAUUUUUUUUCUCUAGCAGUUACAAUUCUCUUCUAUACCUGCCUCUUAUCCACGCCUUCCAUUCAAUGAAAAAGGACUCAGGACCAGAGAUCUAAGCACAUCACCAACUUAGCACAUCACAGUCAUUUAUCACUUAGGAGUUGCCCCCACACACAGGUUUAAUUCCACAGGAAACAGGAGGCCACAUGUGCAGCCUAAGGAUAUAAAAGGAGGGGCAGAGAGAAACGGGUUUGUUUAAGUUGGAGAAGUUUAGAGGGAGAUCUUGCAAUUUUUCAGUAUCUAAAUGGGUCAUACAGGGAGGCUGGAGGGCAGCUCUUCUCAGAAGAGCACAGCAAAAAGAGAAGAGGCAACGGGCACAGAUUGUGACAAAGGAAAAAUAGUUUUACAGUGAGUGGCUAAACACUGGAACAGGUUGCUCAGACAGUAAAAUCUUUGGUUAAGACUCUAUUUUGGUUGAUAAAA